rnacentral:lncRNA from 13 species
UCUUGCCACCCUUGAGUUUGUGCUGCAGGGUCCCUGCACAGGGACACCACAAAGAUUUGGUACUAGGAGGGUCUCCUGUCACCAAGGCUAAAGUGAAGUGCCAUGUUCAAGACUUACUGCAGCCUCGAACUCCUGGGCUUCUAGUCAUCUCCCCACCUCAGCCUCCCAAAUAGCUGGGACCACAGGUCACCCUCUUUCCACCCCUCACGCCCUCCAUUCCAAGAGCAAAGUGGCCAUUUCUGUGAGAUAUCUAAUUUUUGAAGGUGCUGUGAGUUCUCUUUAUCUUCAGUAUAGUUGGGGCUGUUGCCCCUAGUUCAGUUAUCUCUGUGAUUUAAUUGAUUUUUACAAACCGUUUUAGAUCUCUGCACAAUAUGGAAUAUGACAACUCUUCCGUCUGCUUUAAAAGUAUCAUGCAUAAUCUGUCUUGAUAAUGUCUUUCCUGAUGUGAGUGGAUUUGGGCCUCUAUAGAUUCUAUUUGUGAUUUUUUAAAUGAAAAUGUAUGAACUUAAAUAAAAGUUUAC